UCCAGUCAGGCCUCUGCUGGGAGGGGAAGUAUCAGAUAUUUAAAGAUUUCCUGCUCAAAUAUGGAACAGAGAGCAAUACUGGCAAAUCUUAAAUAUCUUUCUUUUUAGCAGAGCAGAGACAUGAGGUUUUUUUAAUUUAAAGGAACUUCCACAUGAUCUGCUGUGCUCAUCUGUUCAGUACCUGAAAAACUUCUGAUAUUUAAAAGCAUUAAUCACUUCAAUAUUGGGUUACUUUAUUUGGAGCCAAGGGAUACUUCAUGCACUUGAAAAUCAAGACACCUAUUUGUAUGUCUAAACACAGAGUAGGACCCUUUUUUCAAGGGGCUGUUUUUUAUAAACUUCUCUUUCAGUGCCCCUGUGGAAGGAGUAUUGGCCAAUAAACCACAUUGGGGGAACGUCUGUAGCUUUAGGUGAACAUAUAAGAAAACAGAGGUGAAUUCCUGUUAAUUCUAAGGCAGCUAAUGAUAAUUCCUUCUAAAAAGUCACUGUACAGCAAUACAGAGAACUCCUCUUAAUCCUCCCCUCCACCAAGUGGUCCUGGCUGUCCAUGAGAACAGACAAGCUGUUUUCCCUUCACAACAAGGUGGAAUUAUUACUAAAAGAACUUUUUGGGGGGUGAGGAGUAUUGGAUAUGCCUCAAGCUUUUUGAUAUGCCUGAGGCAUAAAUAUAAGCUCAGUCCAAAAAGCUGAGGAAAAAAAAUGGAUAUUUAAGCUUUUCCUAUCAGAAGGAUAGGACGAUGCCGGGGUGAGCAUGACCUCUGUGGGGCAGAGAGAAUUCCUGUUUCUCCGUGCAAGGAGAGCCCUGGCAGUUCAACCACACUCAGGAUAUCAGCACAUACACAGGAUUUUGUUGGCACAAAGUCCUGCUUUGUCCCUGACCCAAGGGCAGCAGAGCAACGUGAGCAUGGCCAGUACGAGCCCAACCUCGGUGGUAACCCUGGGCCCAGGCUCAUGGGCCCUGGCUUUUAAACUCAGUGUUAAGUCAUCUCAGCAUUGCACUAAGGAUGUUCAGCUGGGUUUUAGUCCCCCAGCUAAGCAGGGGCAGAGCCAGCCUGUUUCUGCCUGUGGAACACCUCCUGCUCACCCUCUCUGUAAUGCAACAACCUCAGCUGAGUUUGGCACUUAAAAGCUUUUUCCUGCAGGAGCCCGAGGCAGUAGCUGUAAUUGCCAGUUCAUAAGUAGCUUCUUCAAAACAAAACCUUUUUUAUUCUUUCUCCCACACAGUACAAUUGUUAAUGGUGCAGAAGCUAAGAGCAAUUGCCCAUUUUUGCCCUUACAACUACUUUUAUUUUCCUUUAUAACAGCAAAACCUUGUAAGCACAAGUCUCUCUCAAGCAACUAUCUUCCAUUUCCUUUUGAACACAAGAAUCUUUAUCUCUCUAAACAUAUUUGCAUAGCAAAAAUACUCCUAUUGCUUACUGAAAUACCUUAAAAUGUUUAGUAUUUUCCUACUAUGCUGUGGUGGAAAAAGAAAAUAAAUCUAGGAGACAUGGGUUAGACUGUUCCCAUUUCUCAAAAGAAGUCUGCAAUAAAUAUUCAUCUUAACCUGAGGCAUUGUUGUUAAUAUUCAAACUUGGGCUUUUCAGCUUCAUAUUUUAAAGAAGUGCUCUGGAAGUUUAAGAAUGGACCCUCCUUCUAAACAAAUCCACACAGAGAUGUACUUUUAUGUGUAUAAUUAUCAGUAAGAGAAUUAUGAACUUCAUGUUCCAAACCCUUUGUUCAUUCAGCCAUUUUGGUGUGAAGUUAUUUAUUGUGUUGGAACAUGCAUAAAACUCUUCUCAUAUAAGUGAAAUAAACUGUGUAGUACCAGAUACAGAAUUUCUCAAGGUAUUUGCAAGAUGUUUUCCCAAGUGAGUCCUGAGGAAAAAAAAAUUAUAUCAGCAUUGCCUGUUACAUAAUCUGUAAGGGGGAAAUUAUGCCUCAUACUCUGUUAAGGUUGCAAUGAUUAUGAAACAGGAGGAGAACUGAACCUCAGCUUCCCCAAUAAAUAGAAAAAAAUCCAUGCACAAGAGAUUUUUUUAAUUUGAGAUAAGGCUUGUCUGCUUUACCACAGUGAAAACUGUAGGGUACACAAAGAACAAGCACUGGAUAAAUAAGAAUCAUUGGCCUUUAUUGGGACAUUUUAGGAGGUUGGGUGGCCAGUGCAGUAGAAACAUUAGCUGGCUGUGGGAACCCAUCCAACUUCAGACUGUGGUCAAAUGCAAAGAUAACUGAAAUCCCAGCAUUUCCUCAAUUUAACCUUUUAGGAAAUCAGAGCCUCAAUAUAUAAUUGAAUAUAUCAUUCCUCGGGGAAACAAAAAAGCAUCCUUGCCUAUUACAUUCAGUUCCUCAGCCCUGUGGUUCUUGCAGUGUUUUAACUAAAUCAAUGUGAAAUGGAGAGAGUUUUGCAGUAUUUAGUUGAAUGAAGUAAUUUUUAGAGCAUGCAAAAAAAAAAAAAUCACUCACAAAGGGGUAAGACAUUCAUAAUGUGAACUUUCUCAACAGAACUUGCUGCACAGUCACACGUGGUCAAGAAUCUAGAGAAGAGAAAUGUGUAAAACAAUUUGCAAUCAUGUAUUGCACCAAGAUCCAAAGAAAAAAAAAUCAGAGCAAGUGGGCAUGCAUAUGUGAGCCUUAUCAUAAAUAAAGCAUGUAUUUACAUCAUUUUAGUGUGCUUAAUUGUUUUGCUAAACUAACACACUAAUGACUAUUGUCUUUUUACAAAGAAAACACCAAGCACGAAGCAAGACUUCAAAGAAGAAACCGAAAAUAUUGCUCUUGGCUAUGGGAUUUCAAGGGACCUUAGAGCUGGGUGUGACGUUCUGUACAACUAAACCUCUUGAAAGUGUCUUAUUCAUUGCUUGUCUGCCAUCUAAUCCAAUAAUCUCUUAAAGCACCCAACAAAGCACCAAUUCUUUGCUGUAAGCACACGUGUGUAGCUGAAGGAUGCACGUUCUGUGCCCUGUUCGUGAUCUACCCCAUCCACUGCUGCUCUUACACAUCACCCUCAUUGUCUGUUUUAAUGAUGCAGCCCAAAAGGGACAGUGUUGUUCCAUGCCUGCCUUUAGGAGCAUCACUGCACAGAUGAAGAGAAGAUGUGAUAUGAACACAGGAGCCAUGCAGUAGUCCAACAUAUUUUCCUCUAAAUAACUGUAGCUACCGAUGUGUCCUUGGUUUUCCCCACAAGGACAAUGAUCCCUGGCAUGGCACCAUAGCAGUGACAGGGAUUGGUCUCAACUGACAUGUUUUUUGCCAAAUUUUUAUAGGACUCUUGAUUCUGCUCCUAAAAAAAAAACCAAAAACAAAAACAGCAACAACAAAAAACCCAAACGAACAAAAACGCGAACCCAAACAAAACUAACAACAACAAACCAAAACAAACAAACCAAGCCCACAAAACAAAAAAACCCAAACAAACAAAAACACACAGAGGCAAAAAACCUAAACCAAACCAAACAAACAAAAACCCAAAAAAAACCCCAAACACAAAAAAAAAAACAAACCCAAAACUGUUCCAGGAUCCCUCACAAGGGGACACAAGGAUAAGGAUCUGAGGAAAAGCCAGAGCAGUGCUCACAGUUACCUGUUCUCCCCCUACACCCACCCAGGGAAGAAGAGAGAAGCCCAGCUGCCUCAGGACAUAAGGGGGACCUGCAGUGUCAACUAAAAUCAUAGAAUUAUAUUGAUGUUUAAGUCAGAAAAGACCCCCAAGAUCAUCUGGUCUAACAGCUCCCCCAUGUUCACCACUAAACCAUGUCCCCAGAUGCCACAUUCACACCUUUUUUGAGCCAUUCCAGCAGAUGGGAUCAGGCUGUGACCCACCACCACCCGUUUAAGAGUCUGCUUGCUUUAUUCUUUCAACAAUAAUUUGAUGCAUAUUUGAACAACAUUCCUAAAAGUACAUGCGAGUGGUCCAUGAUGGCAAGUUUUCUAACUGCCAGUUCUAAUUUAAAACCCCCCUAAUAAAAGACCAGGGCAAAAAGCUUUUUUCAAUAAUUGUAAACUUCAUUGCAGGUGGGACUGUACCUAUAGAGCUGAUUAAUUGCAGAAUCUGCUCUGUAGACAUUACUAAGGAAAAGAAGAUGAGAUCAAUAUAUAUAGUAUGUACUACAUAUAUAAAACUCCUUGCAAUAGAGUAUAUUGCAGGCUACUGAAAACUGAUUAAAAACAGUUUGCCUAUAUUUACUUUGGCUGCCUUGUAAAGAGAUUUUAAUUUCAUAAUCACAUAUAGUUUACCAUUUUUUUCCCCCAGCUGCAGUGGAUGAAAACACAAAGGAACAGAAUUAAAGUUUGGACAAAUUUAAAUGCAGCAUGCCUUACAUUUUCAGUGUUUCUCUUGGCAACCUAAAUAUUAUCUUAACUUGUGGUGUGAUUAUAUAUUGGCUCACAUAGGGGAACUGCAGAACUCUGCCUGCUGAGCAUCAUUAAGCACUUUGGUGCUCGGUGGGAGUUUGUUCAUUAGGAAGAGUGUGUUAUGAAUUUUACUGUGUGUGCAUCUUUGUCUUUGAGAGAGAGGGAGGGAGAGCGAGGCAAUGAGAGGAAAAUAUAAGAUAAAUCAUUAAAACAUACAAAAUAACUAAAUAUAAAUGCUUCUAUUUAAAAGAAACAGCAGAGUAUUGCAGAGAAGAAAAUAAUCAUCCACACAAGGGCUGUGAAAGAAGUCUCCUGAAACCUGUUGCUUCUCCUGUUUGGAAACCUGGAUUAUUUCUUCAGAUUUUUAUCUGGUUGGCAGAGAUCCACCAGUCUGCCAUAUUCUGCCUUUUGGUUUAUCAUUUCCUUUUAGGUAUUAGUGCUGUUUUUUUUUUUUUUAAUCUUGGGACAUAUAAAAGUAAAAUUGUUUAAUAUAAUUUAUUUUAAUAAGUUACCCAUACUUAGAAAUUAAUUCUACUAGCAAGAAAGAGAAAACAAACUGUAAAGACAUAAAAUCACAUGACUUUUUACCAAUUUUAUAAACUGAAAUUAAAAUUUUUCGCAGCUGAGAAUAACCUAUAGAAGAUUAUUCCUUAAAUCAUUUUACAUGUCAGUGACUAGGUAUCAAAGAAUAUGUGCUCAGGGAGUGAGAUGCUGGAGUUUGUGAAAAAGUUUGUGUAUUUUUUUAAGGUCUGCAAAAUGCAUUUGAUUUUUCACCGGAGCAUCAAAAAAAUGAAUCACUGGCCUACUUUUGUAUUCACAUGGGCCUUGUUCUAAUGCUUUGUGAUUCUGUUGGUUUCUCCUGUAGCUGUUUAUUUAUAUCCACAUGGAUGUGGAGGAAAAUCAGACUCACUGUUUUGCAAAUGGCUUUUCAAUGCCAGUGCAGUGUUAUACCCACUUGGCAUUGUGAAAUUCAGGGAAAUUAUUAGGAUUUUCAAACAGAGUUAUUUUAGCAUAUAUGACUUUAUAUAUAACAUUUUUACCUUUCUAUGUCCAUUAAAAACAAAGAAACAGUUAUUGAAAGAGGAGAGAAAUGUGGAAAAUGGAUAAUAACUGUUCCUUUAAAUUAUGUCUCCAAAUAUUUUUCCUCUAUGAAAGUAGCAAGAGCUUAAGCAACUCCUGCUGUCUUGUUGUUCGACAUCCACUACUGCCCAUCUGCCUAUUGAUUGGUAGGAAACUCCAAAUGGGAAUUUCAUCUCAUUAAUCAUGUCACAUCACAGGGAUUAGGACAAAAAAAAUCCUUUAUGCUUCACAGCAGCCAUCUAAUGCCCAGUAAGACAAGUGAACGAAUAUGAUAUGGAUAGAAUAUCUUCCCACUAAUUAAAGGUCAUCUGCUAAAAACUGAGUCAGGCUGGCUCAGAACGUGCCUGGUCUCAGCCUGCACACACUCCAGCUCUGCAAAAUGAAAGGGACAGUAAAUAUGUAUUUAUAAUUCAAAUGCAAACGUGGCUCGAGAAUAAAACCCAUCCAUUACAGAGCACUGCAGUGACAAUACUUGCUGUAGUGGUUCUCCCCGAGUAGCUCCUUGCAAAGCCCAAUUCCAUGGAUUGUCCCCUGCUCCCCCCUCCCACCAUCAUUAAUAUCCCUCCACGUGGCGUUUCCCCACCGACACGCUCUGUAAUCCUCUUACACCGCCACCAAAAUUGUUGCCCUUCUACUCAUAACCCACAUAAUCUGCAUUAUAAGGUGCUGGGAUUUUUCUAAGCCUGUUUGGUACUGUAACAAGCAAGAAAAAGCAAUUAAAAUUGCUGAGAUGUGCCUGAGCAGGUGAGGUGAGGCUUCCUUCCAGUCAGGGCACUAUGGCAGAUGAGAGGGACAGACACAGCCUUGGAAGGAAGCCAACUUAUUAAUGGAAUUUGACCAUGCAAAACUUGUUGAAAUCCCUCUAGAACAUCAAAUGCCACAUUAUAAUAUCUUUACUGAGGUCCCUGCCAUUCCCAGGAAAUCUUUAAUUCCCUUUUAAGAGUGUGAUUUAUUUUUUUCAGUCAUGCUUUCCAAAGCAAGAUUUGUGGGGUGUAUUUUGGUUUGUGUUUUGCUUUGUCUCUCACCCAUUAAAAGCAGGUAGGUGGGAUCUGCUUUUUUUUUGUUGGAAAGAAACCUUCAGGAAGUUGAGGCUUACUUUGACAGAACUAAACAAUUAAUUAUUUUUUUGCUUUUGAGUUAAUAAAAAAUUCUAAAGCCAUAGAUAUCCUUGAAAACAUUGCCUAUGAUAUUGUAUCUAAAAUCUUACAGAUCAUUUUAGUCAUGCUAAUGACUUGAAAUGAAGGUUAGAUGAUAACACAGAUAUAUUUUAAUUAAGAGACUCGUUAAUGUGAUAAGGUAACAUAAGUAGUCUCUUUCAAAAACCAGCAGAACAAUGCUGCACACUGCCAGUGUAAAGACUGAUAAGAGGUGGAUCUUUUUAUCAUUUAGUAUUUCCAUAUUGAAAGUUUAUGGGCCUGCAAUUAUUUCACACCAUUUUUUCUAAUAUUCCAACAAAUGAUUCAAUCUCUGAAAGCGUUUUCCAGGAGAGAAAUUGCUCAUCAAUGUUUACAACCAUUAGUUUUAGAACAUAAACAGAAAGAUUUGAGUUUUUCCAUUGACCUCCAUGCUUAGAGAAAGUUCAUGCUGAAGCCUAAUGAGAAAUAAAAACAUCUGCAUUUUUGAUAUUUCAAAAUCUCUAGGUAGGAGACAUAGGAAUAAAACAAAUAUUUGACUAGUAGCUGUAUUCCUCUGCUGAGUAGACUUAAAUAUGCUUCACUUCCUUUUUUUUUUCCCCACCCCUCAGACUUGCCUCUUGUCCUGGUCUUUAACAAAUCCUCUCACCAGACCGGGUUUUCUUUCAGCUGAGCAUUGCAAGCCCUCACCUGAUACCAGGUCUCCUAUAUUUUAAUCAAACAAGCUCCACCCUCUCCUCUUUCUCUGACUGCAGCUCAGUUUACCCCUUGAAUUUCUGCUCCCCCUUUCCAUUCACAGUUGUUCUUUAUUUAAUCCUGGUUCUCCUCCCAUUCAGGCCACAUUUACCAGAUUACUUAAUCAAGGGUUUGGUGACCCUUCCUGUUAUUCUGCUUUUCACCCCUCUGCAUUUGUAGCAGAUCAGGUGCCCUCUCUAUUCAGAAUCCAUGGCCAUUAGUAACAGGGUCAGUGAUUCCAAAGGAGAUCCAGGCUCCCUGUGCAUUGCUCCUAAAGCUGCACCCACACUAGCCUGGAGCAGCUAUAGGAGCAGGAUUACACAGGGGAUUGGUCAUAAAUGUCAGCUUUUCAGAGGUUUUCUGAGGAUGAAUACGGAUGUGCAGGGAAAACAAUAAUUAAAAAAAAACAUAUAAUUUAUUUUUUAAGCUCUUUAGAUCUACAUACAGGUGUACAGCUUCAUGUUAAAUGUCCACAGUGGCUCAGAACGAGCUGAUAUGUCAGUCCAGCAUAACAGAGAAUUAUUUAGGCUGUUUCCAGUACAUUAUUAGAACAUCCUGGUAGGGCUGGGUGAUGUGAUUGGAGAACACAGAUGUGACAGGGACCAUCCCCUGUCGCUCACCUGCUGGUGUGGGCACUCUUUCUUCUCCUCACAGCUGAGCCCAACAGGUUCCUAACACAGAAGGUCUUUGCAAUGUUCUGUGUGAUUCAGGCACAUAUCCUUGCAGGCUUUGAAUUUUGAUCUUAUAGAGCUGUCAAUAUUAUUUACUUCUUGUGUAGUGACAGGCAAUCACCUCAAACCUGACAAAUAUUGAGUAAUCUACUCAACCUUUUGCCAUCCAGAGGGGAGCUGACAAAUCUCUCCUCUUGGCUAUCUUGUUUGUAACAACUUUUGCAAGCAAAGAACAGCACUUUUCCUUCAGGCAGCAGAAAUCUUCAGCCCAAACUUCCUAUGACAUUCAGCAAGCAAGUCACCCGUGUGCAGGAGCCCUUACAGUUGCAAGUGCCAUAAUUCCCAUUUUUCUCCUCAAACAAUUAUUUUACUUUCGUCCUACAGUGAGAGAACAGCCAUAAAAUAGGCUUCACGCUUGAACAUUAGAAUUUGAUCCAGCAUUCAGCAAAAGAGAUUUGAAUGAAUUGUGAGGCAUUUCUGUUACCUGGUGCCAAAACCACCGGCUUUGAUGUUAAGAUAAAAACAUCCUGAAUCUGCCCAGCAGGAUAAGGAAAACAAAUUUCAUGUGUUGCUUACACUCUCAUUUACUCCUUGCCAAAAAGACAGUGUGUUAGAAGCUAUUAAACUAUUUACCUUUCUAACUUAGGGACUGCACUUGGUGUUUAUAACCUUUAUAUCCUGUUCCUGGUUACAGGGAUGCUAUGGUUCAUUUUUGUAUAUUCAUUUUUCCAUGUUCACUCUGUUUUCAUAAAGGAAAAAAAAAACUUGUGGGUUCAAGCAUUUGUUUUUCCUGAUUCCUCUUAAAUGUGUGCAUUUGUCUGUGAUCAGACUUCUACUACCUAAUGUGCAUUUGCUAGUUUUCUUCACAUUAACACAUAAUUUUGCUUCUAUUUUAAAUAAGAACAGUCCUCUCCUAUUUAAAUUAUACGAGAAUCCAAAGAAGAGAGCUGCUUGUGAGGCAGGAACAACCUCUGUGGUUCGUAGCACAUAUUGAUUUGUAGUGUUCCAUGGUAAGCAAAAGUUUAACAACCAUAAUUUUAUGAAAAUGACAAUUGAACAGCACAUCUGGUGAGAAUUCAUUUAUGCUUUUUACAUUUUUAACAACCUGGCUAUUUUUACUCUUCUCACCCUCUCAAAGGGAGUACAAUGUAAUGAAGCAUGGAGCUGGAACUAGGCCACACCUCAGCUGGAAAAUGUCAAAUUCUAUUAUGCCAUCCUCAAAAGCAUAAAACAUAGUUGCACAGUUUUAAAGGUAUAAAUGAGGGAGGGAACAACAUAAAACAUUUAUCUGAAUUCAUGCAAUGUAUUUAUAGUACAGAAUGGUAGAGUUAUUAUUUAUGUAAUGCAGAAAUAUACCAAAUAUUUAAAAGUUGAAAUCUAUGAUACGUAGAUUAUCUAUUCUGAGAAAUCCCUUUGAGCACUGAACUUUCUUGCAUUUAAUUUUUUCUGGUUGCCAGCUAACAAACUAACCUCCUUAAUGUCAGAAACUAUUAGUUCCUUUGUCCCCUAAACCCCUCAUUUCAUAUAUUAAAUUAGUUUAAUUGUCUUGAGUUUAAGGACAUACUUGUUUAGUAUAAUAUCCAGGAGCCCACAUUUCAUUUUUGUUAAUAUUAAAUUGUACCUUUCAUGCACUGUUUCCUACAUUUCAUUGGUUAAAUUAUACAUGGGGAAGAAGUUCUGUCUCUUUGGCAGCAGCAAUACCACAGUUCAUAACUAUUCAAAUAAAUAAAUAGCAUUUACUAAGCACUUACGAGGAGGAAAGAAGAUGGUUAAACUCACUUGCUCACACUCACUCUUCCUGUUUUCUUCAAUAUUCCUGGUGAAAGCAGUGCCAACUGUUUCCUCAAAUUUGGCUCAGAUAACCUUGGAUGGGAUGGGGCAAGAAGACAAUAAAUAUAUAUAUAUAUAUACAUUUAAACUAUUUGAACUUUUCAUUUUCUUUGCUUAGAAGCCCAUGUAGUUUUCCACUACAUUUUAGAGAAAGAUCUUGGUCCAAAUAAUGUUGAUUGAUGCUAUUUAACUUCAUUUUGUAUCGUAUGUUACCAGCUUAUAUCCACACAAUGGUCUUGUGCAGUAGAUGGUUCAGUGUUGGACAUUUGAAAUCUUUGUCUACCAUUCUGUUCUGAUUUAAUCUCCUUGGCUUUAAAUAGUCUGUCUGAAGUCACUGCAGAAAGGAUCAAGAGGGGAGCACUCAGCUCAUAUUGAAGGAGGUUAACAAUCUAUUCUUCUUGAGUUAUUCUUAAGAGGAUUUAACCUAUUCUUAAAAUUUUAAGAAGCUGUUAUUAGGCUGAAGGAUGGCAAGGAGUAGUUUAAGAUUAAAAGUUGAAGCCAAACAGUUAAGAAUAUUAUUAUUCAUCAUGCACAAUAUCAGCAAUAAUUUCUUUUCCUUCCUGACCACUUCAAGCACACAAGCACAUAUCCACUUCAGUCUGGGCAACACAGCCCUGCGUGACAAUCACUGUGGAAACCAGGGACUGAAUCAAAGUAGCUUUAAAAAAGUACUGAGGAAUUUGAAGGAAAAAAAAAGAAAAAUGGAAGUCAGGGCACGACAAAUCUGACAGGGGGUGCUGCUCCCUGGUGCUGAGCAGGCUCCUGGCAUCAGUGACUGUGUCUCAGGACACAGGAGAGCAAAGGGCAGCCCUGCACAGUGCUCUGAGCAGCCAGCAAAGGGUUAAUGUUUAGUGUCUUUGCUCAGCCCUGGGUAGACAUGCUCCCGCUAAUUUUCAGCUCUCCUCUCUAACACUUAGCUUAGAACUCAGCAGAACUGGGUUUUUUAGUGUUUGAGUAGACAUUUGGCAACUUGUGAAGUGUCAGAUGAGCACUGGUGAAUUUGAGAACGAGGGUGAGCGCUUGUGUCAGAGAAGGAAAAAAUCUUCACAGCAGAAAGCACUCUCUAACCUGAGACUGGAGGUACCUGAAAUAAAAUAACUUCAAACUAGUCUGUUCCAAUUACAUUAAAAGCCAAAUCCUGCACUCCUGACACUUUGCAAACUUUACAACUAUUGAAAUCUGGCUUCAAGAGUCUGGCUGCACACUUGAGACUUAAUCAAUAUAAACUGGAUGUGGUAAAGGUUUAAAUCGUGGCCUAAAUAUAAUUUACCUGAGAGAAUAUGGCUGAAAAGUCCAAUUUGAAGGGCCAGCAAGGGAGAGGGGCCAGUUGGUAGGUUCAGCAGAGCAGGAAUUCCUCCUCUGGAGAGGAGCCCCAGCCUGUAGGGUGGCCUGUCCUGCACCAAGGCUUUGAAAGGCAGAUGCAGUGAGGGAUUCCUGGGUAAAGAGCCCCUGCUGUGGGGUGUUACACUGCAGAGAAAUGCACAGGUGCAAGUGCUCAGCUUUCCUGCUUUUUUUAACACCAGUGGGACAUAGUCCCUUCCCUAUAGAUUCUCAUCUACAUGAUAAAACACUUGGUAAAUCUAAAACAUUAUUCACUGGACUAUUGUUAGGGAAUUUCAGAUUUAUCACUGCUUCUACUAAUUCAAUUUAAUCUAUUAAUUUACCUCCUAUUAAUUUAUCAAAGCUUUCUGGGUUGGGUGGGUUCUUUUCCCCCCUCAUCUGCGAAGUGUUCGGUGCUGACAGUGACGGAAACCUCACAGGAAGCAUUGACAAGGUUUGAAAAAUAAUUCUGGAGCCCUUGUGUUGCUAAGGAAGCUUCAUCAGUAGAACCAACAAUUUGAGAUUGUUUUCUCAGCAGUGCAUGAGAUAAAUGAGAACUAUUUCCAGAUUCAGUAAUUUUGAAAUCUGAAGAAACGAUCUUAUCAGUCUGCUGGCCACCCUGAAUGGAAUGAAUCAGGAAAGAUUAAUAGGCAACAGGGAUACCUGUUUUCCUUCAAAGGAAAAAAAACCCUGCAAAAGUAUUUUAUGCAGCUGUUUUUACCUCCACCAUUUUGCAUUAAGCAUAAAAUCUCUAUGUUUUAUGUAACCAGCUUUUCAUUAUACACUGCUAGGACAAACAAAUUGGUUUAUGAGAUGAAAAAAAAAAGGUGAAAUUUAUUUAAUCAGAAUAGAAGACCCUGUAUGAGGUCAGAUAUGGUAGAAUAUUUAAUGUAUGCUUGGGUAUCUUCCAAACUUUUCCCAGAGGAUAAAGGAAUCUCUAAGGAAAUCUUCGUUUACACAGUUUUAACCUAAGAUGCAGCUGUUCUAUGAGUAGAAGGAAAUCUUCUUUUUCACCAGCUGCAAAAUUUGACUGUUUCUAGAUUCACCAUUCUCAAAUAUAUGACAAAAAUAUUUAGGACUGAAAAUACAAAUAUUUUGAACACAAAAGUCUAUGUCUGAAUACAAACAUCAACCUCUGUUUGUUGAGUCUCUUCCCUAUCUGUGGUAAGCCCUGAUUAUAUUUAUUAAACAUGAAGUAUUCCACUUCCUUAGGAGCAGGACUGGGUCCAUGGAGCAGUAGUGGCAGGUGAUAUUUUCCUGUAGCUGCAGCAUUCCUGAACCAUCCGAGGGGAAUACAUGACACAUAUCUGUGUAGCUCAAUUUAAUGUGCCUGGUUAGACAAGCACAAAUGUUCAUGUGCAAUGCAUUUGCAGCGUGUAGAUAUUUGUGUCGUAGUAUCUUACACAGUACAUAUUUGAAAGGUAAUUGGAGUGUAUGAAAUCUUUUAAACUGAUCAUCAGAAUGAGUAGAAUACUUUUUAAAUGGAACAAAAAUCUGCUUGUUUUUUAAAUUCAGAAGUUUAACUAAGCUACACAAAAGUGUAUUUUGGUAAUGAUAGUUACUGAGUAAUUAAAACGGUUUCUCAAUUAAGAAUCCAUGAUUUUUAUUAGAAUUAUAAUCUUUAAUUUUAACUUCAAAUCUUGUUUGUACAACAUUAUCAGUCAUAAUCCCAUUGUAACAAUAAUUCAUGUGGUGUGCUAUUCAGCACUUACCAAUUUUCAGAGAACAUUUGACUGAGUCACAAAUAAAACCUCUCCAGGUUGAAAGUGUUCCAUUUGUACCCUGUGAAUCUGAUCUGGAGAUUUUUGGUGAUUUCCUUUGCCAAUAAAAAUAGAUCAUGUUUAUUUUUGGACUCUCAACACUACAUUUCUAAUUCUCAGACAGUUCUACGAAUCACUGAUUAUAUUUUUAAGUCUGAGCUCUAAGAACACACAGACACUGGGCAGCUCCUCAGCUGGUGUAAGUCAGCAGAACUCUGCCCUCUGCUCAGCUGGCCUUGUGCAAGAGCUCUCUUAUGCUUUAGGCAAUUCUCUUUUUCAAUGCUUUGAUUUCCCUUUGCUAUUUCUCACCUCUCUGGAGUAAUUUCAGACUAUCAGUCCAUGAAGGCCUGAGUUAUUUUGGGGGCCAGCUUAUUUGUUACUCACAUUUUUUUCCCCCCAUGGGACAAUAUGAUGUAGGCUCCAAGCAUCGGGUUGCUUUUAUAUAAAAGAAUUAACCUGAUCAAAGUGCUCCAAAUAUGCUCUGUGCAAACAAACUCCUAUAAAUCUCAAAGCAGGACAUAAUCUGUGCCCUCCUUUAGCUUUUUUCUAUUCCUGGUUUGUAGGUGUGUUUUUCUCAUCCUCAUUUCUGUCAUGUGGCACCUAUUUCCAUAAGUAAACACGUGUAUUUCAUUCCAUAUAAAUGAUCUUGGUGUAUGAAUUCUUACAUAUAAACUAGUCCACAAAAACCUAAAUGGGAAGGUUCUGAUAAUUAAUAUGACAGUAGAUGGCUGUUUCCUCCCUUUGAUUGCAAAAGAAAUGGCCAAUUCUUGGCCAACAAAUCUCCUUCCCACAUAGGAGUUAUCUGUGUGAGUGUGUGAGCACGUUUGUGUGUGUGUGUGUGUGUGUAUUUUGGAGUCAGUCACGUUCUUCAGGCACUGAAAGCACAUCCUGUUAUGAUGAGGAAACAGCAACUUGGUUGUGUCUUGAAGCAACAAUACAUAAUUUUGGAAAAGUUUCAGUGACAGUCACCAAGAUAUUAUCAGGCAGCGCUUCCCUAAAGGCACACACACAGCCCGGCCACAGGAUUGGAAGGUUUUGAGAAGUCCACAGUCCAUGGAGAAAUUUGCCCACUCUAUUACAUUCUCACAGGAAUUUGCCUUUUCUUCUGCAAUCCCAGACUGGUUUGGGUUGGAAGAGACCUUAAAGCCCAUCCAGUCCCACCCCCUGCCACGGGCAGGGACACCUUCCACUAGCCCAGGUCGCUCCAAGCCCCGUCCAACCUGGCCUUGGACACUUCCAGGGAUGGGGCAGCCACAGCUUCUGUGGGCAACCUGUGCCAGGGCCUUACCAAUAGCAAGCUUAACUUUAAGUGAGGUUUAAGUACUCUUGCCUAAAGGCUGGAGUACACCUUCCUUUUAUGAUAUACCCCUUUGGUUUAGGGGUACAUCUUGGGGUACAGAUACAUUUCUAACCAUGCUCUCUUAUUUCUCUUCCCAGUCCUACCUCCGUUCUUUUCAUUAGCUUGCUUGGGGGGUGGUGUGUUGCCAGGUUCCAUUUUUGUCAGGUAUUGUUAUAUAAAGAAAAACUAAUGUAAGGUAAAAAGUAGAUGCCUUUAAAAAGGUAACAAUAAAUCAUUCAAAGUCUGUCAGUUUGCUGCACAGGCUGCCUGAAGAAUAGAUUUAAUGGAUCUACAUACAACAGAGAUUUUCUAUAUUGCUGAAGUUUUCUUAUCUGGCAGAGCUUUGCAUCAUUUGGAACCAGCUCUAUAUCGUGGGUAGACUCUACUGAUUUCUGUCAAGGAGUACUUUGGUUGUGGGGGAGUCCAUGUAUAUCUUCUCUAUAAGUGUUUCUUGAUAUAUAUUUUGAGACACAAAGCCUAAGAAUACAGCACAGAAUGUGACAAUGCAGAAUAUAGAAAGAAGCUGUUGGUUACCAUUUGUAUUUUUAGACUCCUCAUUUCAGGAGAAUGCCAAAAGCAAAACUUCAGCAGUCAGAUCCAACUAUAUUAUUCCUCAUGACAUAUAAAAUAGUGAGACACUUUCACAAACUAGAUUAAGAAUCAUAGUUUAUAUUGCUGCAUGAAAUUGCUAAAAUCGCAUAGAAAUCUGUAUUGUGGAUCAUAAGUUAAUGUAAAAACUCCAAGCUAUUUUUUUUUCACUUUGUCUGUUUAAGCUACUGGGCAAGUUGUUGCAUGAAUAAAUUUAUUUUCUUCCUCUGAAACUGUAUAAUAUUAAAUGCUGUGUUGUUGGCAUAAAAUAUAAGUUGAUCAGACAGACAAAGAUUAUUAUUCUGACAACUGUAUACACAAGGGUAUCGUUGUACAUUGAAUUUCAGUGUGUAAUAUGGUAUAAAUCUUCAUGAGAGAUUCAACUUUUAUUGGCUGCACAGAAGGUGCUUUUCCUUAUUAAAUACGGGAGAUGGUCCCAGGGGAUUUUUUUAGAAUAUCUUUAUCCAUUUUUUUUUUCAGCUACUCUCUGGGCCCUGGAAGGCUGACAGAUACAGUGGGGUAAGCAAUUCCCUUUGGAAUGCUUGGCUGUAGAUACAGUCGUGCUUUAGCAUUGAGCAUCUGUGAUGUUUUGCCUCAGCAGAACCCAGCAGAUCCCACCUUUCCCAUUCCAUAAGUAGAUGUGUGUGUGCUCUGCCUGGAGCCUGCAGGACACCAAAAGGCACCUUAAUUCAGUGAAAUAUUACCAAUUACUGAAAUAACUAUGGAUCUGCACUUCCAGCUGACUGUUGCCAGUCCCUCAUUACAGCUGCUGAGUGUUUUUGGGGCAUGGGGACCCUGACAGACCCUCUCACUUCUGGGCAUUGCACAAAAUGAAGGCACAAGGGCCUAAGAGCCCAACUUCUUGAAUUUAAACUACUUGGAUUAUUUUCCUGGCCAAUGCAGGUUUGUCAUCUCAUCUGUGCCUAGAAUUCCAUAAGGAUGUCUGUGAGGAUGUCAUAAGCCAAAGGCUGUAUCUGUGUGUUUAAUCACCCUAGACAGCCUAAUCUUGAUUUAUUUAGCUGUUCCUUAUGCAGAUUAUUCAGUACAACCUCAAAAGCUUAGAAUUAAAAGUACAUUUUUCUAAUGUUAAAUGAUACUUGAUUUGCAGCCCUUAAUUUGUCCUUGUAGAUUAAUAUAAUGUUUCACUAUCAAGAAAGACACCACUGCAGAGUUAAAAAAAAAAUCUGACAAUUUCCAUUGUCUAUUUCUAGUUUAUUCUCUGGCAAUGAAAUCACCAAAUACAUUAUUCCCAUGGCUUUGACUUCACUUCCAUUUCACACACAGCCACUGAUGUAGGUGGAGAAGUCUUUGGGCAGGAGGUGAGAACAGGUGACCUCCUGAGACCUCAUCAGUGUGAAUUAUUCUAUCAAUGAGUAAAAUCUAGAGUAAGUAAUUUCCUUCAGUGAGAGAAAAACCAUAUAUGCACAAUUAUAAACCUGUUUAAAUUGCUUUUUAACAGGCAAGCAAAUGCCACCACAGAUUUUCUGCAGAGAUGAAACUUGUGAGUUUUCAUCUGAGCCUCCCUCUCUAUGGAAGCAGCUCUCCAGCACAGCAAGCAGGACACUGAGCAUUUCUGUGCUCCAUUUAAUCCCACAGCCACUUGGCCAGGAGCACCAGGCUGGUGGCCAAGCAGUGUUUGUGGUUCAGUGCCGCUGGGAAAACCUGGAAUGAGUUUGUGGUGUCCUUUCCCUACUCCCCCUCUCACCAAAAGAACAUCAGGCUGAUUUUUUUCUUUCUUUUCCUACCUGGUGAAACGUGCUGACGUUAUUUGUGAAAUGAAUAAGUGAUACAGGAUAGCUGUAGGUUUUAUGUAAGAGGCUGAACAUCUGCAGACAAAAUAAAAAAUUUUAUUUGUCUCCCUCUGGCCUUGUAUAGUUCAAACAGACAACUGGGCCAGGAUUUUAAUAUUUCCAAAUAUAUGGCAAAAAAGGCACUUACCCUAAAUCACACGACGUGUGAGCAGGAGCACAGACAGAUCAACUCAUGCCUGACUGAGCAAACAAAUCAAGAGCAUUGGGCUGGAGAAGAGAGCUGAGAGCAGAGGCCUGAAGAACAUGGUGAAGAAGGAGCAAGAGGAAGAAAGUUCUGGGAGUUGUGUCGGUGCUGGGGGAAGAGGCAGCUGUGAGACCCCCCAGUGCACUCCCUGGUCUUUGGCUGGGCUGGAACAGCUCAAACCAGCAGAGCUGGACAGAAACACUCGAAUUUUCCUGGAGUCACUUUGUGCACAAAAACAUGGGUUGGUGAUUUUGCUCAGCCUGAAGGUGGAAGAUGAUUUUGGGGGGGCAGAGCACGAACGGAGGGGAAUCGCUCGGCUUUUCUGCCCUGUUCCCACAGCCACAACCCAGAGAAUUCCCUCACAGCAAUGCCAAAGGUUUGGGCUGAGGAUCUGCACUGUUACAGAGCCAACUGUAAUCGAAAUUUCAGGGCAGGUUUUGGUGAGAAAGACCCUGACCCCCUCAGCUCUAAGAAGGAAGAAAAGCAGGCUUAAAAGCAAAGGAUCCCCUAUGGUGCUUCCAAAUGUCCAACGGCAGUUUAUCACUGGAUUAGAAUUUCUAAGAAAUAAGUAGCAGAUCGUGCAGACUUCAGGUUUAGUGCCCUCCUAGAUGAGAAAUCAGUUUCAGGAGUGAAAAGAAUAUUUUACAAAAACUUCAAACAAUGGCAUCACCAAAGAACAAGUACCAAUGGAUUUGUAUAUCCAGGAAAAUGACUCCAGAAGGAAGACUUUCUAAAAUUACUCCUAGCUCUGUGUAAUUCAGGGAGAUAUAUGCAUAUGCCCAUGAAUUGUUUAACUGUAGAAAUGUCUUUUAUUCCUGUAUAGCAGAUGCACAAAGGGAAUGGGAAUGUUUUAUAACUCAGGCUUUUAAAUAAUAAAUAAAUGCUGACAUUCUCACUUGAGACAUCUUGAUUUUUGCGUACUGUGUAAUACUGAAGUAUACAAAUAUUUCUUUAGAGAGAAUUAUUUUUCCCCUUUUAAAAAGAGUAUAAAACCUCAAGAAUAUGAUAAAACAUCACAGUUGGCUUCUAAAUGCUUUGCAUCUUAAUAUGGUUGAAGUUAAGGCAGUAAGUAAUUUCUGAGUUUUUCCCUUGAGCUGCGUAGUUCUUUUCAUAUGUAAUUAUUCUCUGAGUGCAUUAGAUAAUGCUAUGGUUCCCACAGCUGUAUACACAUCUAUAAAUCAUUAAUGAGGCAGUUAACUGAAACAAAACUAUAAAAGAUUUGCAUUACCCGGCAGAACCCAGCCUUAAUUGACUUCCAGUUAUUUACAAUUAAUUUUUCCAUUUGGAAUAAUGAUUUCAAGCAACUUAGGGUUUUUUAUGACUGAGGAACGAGAUGCUGACUAUUCAUCAAAAGUUUUUACAGAGGGACCCUGUCAGUGGACAGUAAUGAGCUGGAGGUAAUCUGAUUUUUACACGCACAUCCACACCCCCACACUGGUAGAGGAGACAGGGUGGGAGGGGGCACGUGCUGUAAAAUGUAGUAAAAUGCAGACAGGAGCCAGCACAAACUCUUUUUUUUCCUUUUUAUCACAUACCUAAGUUUAACAACAAUUAAUUUCCUUUCUUUAUAGCAUCCAGCUGAAAGGCAACAUGAUGCACAGAGCUGGCUACAGUUCUACAUAGAAUAAACUGCAUGAAUGAAGAGAAUGUGGUUUCCCCCCCUGCCCCAGCUGACACCCAGGAAGAGAAUGCAACAAUUUGUAUGGAACUGCUUUGGACUGAUGUACAAAGAACAAUAUUAUGUUUCAUAAUUAUGUUCCAAAUGAUAAAGGAUUUUUCCUGCCAAAACCUCUCUGUAAGUGCCCCAGCAUCAUCAACUGAUGGCAGCACAGCUCUGGGAAUAAACAGACUUUCAGCUAAUGGCAGGAAUUGUCAGGGGAAACAGCAAACAGGUAUUUCUUCCUGAUAUAGAAUGAAACAUAUGAUUAAAGUUAAAUGCCAAAUCCUACUGGCACUGGAGCGAAUUCAGGCUUAUUUUUCAUUCCUGUUUAUUCUUUGCUCUCUUUUUAGCUCAUUCAUCUUGUUUCAUUUAAUGCCAAUGGUUUUUCCUUUCUAUUUGGCCACUUUGGUGGGAGGGGGGAGCAAUUCAUUUUGGGCAUGUGGCUUUGGGUAACAAGAUUAAAGCUUCAGGCAAAGCCCAGAUCCUAAAAUGAGCACUCCAUGCUGUAUUCAGCCCUCCAAAGGCAGGGGGCAAUGCACUGUGACCCCAAACAGUUCUUUACCACAGUUCUGGCACUGUCCCAAAGGCGUCUGUGCCCUGGUGCUGUGGUACACCCACCUGCUGUGACACUCAGCUGCUAAUGCAGUGUUUAAAUCAGGCUGUUUUACAGCAGAAACACUCUUAAUAACCUCAAUAUAAGGUGUAUUGCACUGCAUUGUUUAUUACGAGGGAGCUGUGAGGCAAACCUUGUUAUAAUGAAACCAUGUCUUCACCUAAGAAUUCAAAAUUACUGAGUUUCUCUCCAUUAUCUUAUUUUAGACUUUUUUUUUUUUGUGAAAAAUAAGUAUGUCUGGCUCACUAUGGGCUGACUGAGGCACACAAUGAUUAAUUAGAGCUGGACUGAUUUUGUAUAGUUCAAUAUGAACGUGUCACUUCUCUGGCUGGUUCAUCUCCAUCUUCCCUCUGACCAGCCAAAACUUAUUCCAGAAUAGUGGGCACUUGCUGUUACCAGGAGCAGCAGGUGUGUACAUAUGUCUGUCUGUCUAUCUAUCUAUCUAUAACCCAUGUAAGAUUGUUGUUUUAAAAAUAAUGACCUUAGACAAGGUGCUGUCCCAGCUGAGUUGUCAGAGCUGGGUUGCUUUUGGAGCUUGUGUGGCAGAAACACCAGCCAGGGAAUUCCUGUGGGGAGAUUUGAGCUCUGAAAAGUGAGAAAUUACAUCUCAGACAGCAAAACUCUCUUUUCCUCCCACAACUUACCCCUCUUGGAGACAGCCAAAGAACUGGUAGAUGGUGAAAGGAUAUUCACUGCUGCCCAGGGAAUACACAUUUCAGUGUAGUUUUUGAAAAAGCUGUGCAUGCAUUUUCAAACAUGCAAGGCCAAAUGUACUUUUUAAAAGAGUGUAACUAUUAUAAAGCAUCCAAUUUGUAAAGUAUCAGUUAUCAUAAGAAAAUCUUAAUA